AUUAACAUAUUUUAUUCUUUCCAUAUUUAUCCUUCAUUCACGAUACAGAUUAAAUCAACUUGGAGAUCGAAAUUUUCUCCCUCUUCAACGACAGCCACCACUACCACCUUCUCCGCCACCAGAUCGGAAAAAUAAUCUUUAUUCUUCUUUUUCCUUCUAUACUGAUAUCAUCACCACCACCACCUCUGCAUUACCACCACUCCGUCGUCAUUUUCACCUCCGUCACAAGAUCGAGUCAAGAGGAAUUUUAAAUCCAGUGAUGAAUCAACGAGAAGUUAAUCUCCAUAACCUAAUCUCAAGCCCAUCAGAAACAUUAAUUUCAUUUUGAUUUCGUUGAAAUACCUAAAACCAAAGAUUUCGACCGGAUUUGGUUUCAAUUUGUAAAAACCUAAAAUGUUAGUUCUUAAAGAUUGUCUGCAUCGAUUGGGAAUAGAUGAUAAAAUCUCCAUCAACAACUGGAUCUGAAUAUUCAAUCAUCAAAAACGAAUAAAAAAGAGCAGCAGUCGAGUGGUGAACGUAGACGGUAGCAGCAACUGUGCUAUCAUAGUAACUUUUCCUUGUCAAGCUUUUUCAAGAUUAUAUUGCAAUGGGGGCCAGAUUAUAUGCUAAGAAAUUCAUCGAAGGAAUAUGCUUAAAGCAUUAUUGAUGCAGGUUGAGGUGUAUUAGACGAACUUGUGGUGUAAUGGUAACACACCUGGCUCCGUCAGAAGAUGCAUGUUCGAAUCACGUCAGGUUUACAUCAAUUUUAUGGAUCAACUUUGGUUGUUGACACCAGUUUUUGGGAUCAACUUUGGUUGUUGACCCGUUCACUGGGAUCAACUUCCAUUGUUUAUCUCAGUGAACGGGAUCAACAUCCAUUGUUGACCCAAAAAAGUUGGAGUACUUUUUCACUUAUUGUGUCAAUAAAGGAAAUCGAUCAACUUUGGUUGUUGACACCAUCUUUUGGGAUCAACUUUGGUUGUUGACACCAUAUUAUGAUGUUAAAUUCGGUUGUUGAAGCCAUAUUAUUUU